ACAGGCCUACGGGGGGCAGCAGUGGGGAAUAUUGCACAAUGGGGGAAACCCUGAUGCAGCGACGCCGCGUGAGUGAAGAAGUAUUUCGGUAUGUAAAGCUCUAUCAGCAGGGAAGAAAAUGACGGUACCUGACUAAGAAGCCCCGGCUAACUACGUGCCAGCAGCCGCGGUAAUACGUAGGGGGCAAGCGUUAUCCGGAUUUACUGGGUGUAAAGGGAGCGUAGACGGCAGCGCAAGUCUGAAGUGAAAUGCCGGGGCUCAACCCCGGAACUGCUUUGGAAACUGUACAGCUAGAGUGCAGGAGG
rnacentral:rRNA from 1 species